rnacentral:lncRNA from 1 species
CUCUGCUUAUAAUCUGUCAUGGAUUGGAAAACUAGAAAAAACAAUUUACAGAGUAUAACAAACUUUGGAGGAGUUAAUCGACUCUAAGUAAAAGAGUUAAGCCUGUAGCUGUAACAUAGGACUUAAGGAUCUAACAUGGCUAUGGAACAAAGGAGAGACUCACAAACUGUUGAAAGAAUAAAUGAAUGAAUGAAUUCCGUUCAUGAGCUUUAAUAAAACAGCUCUGAGUAGUAACAGUGGAUCAAAUUUAGGCUUCUUGAUGCAGGCAUGGUGUAGAUUACUACUUCUUUAUUGUCCCAGGAGCUCAGCACAUUCCUGCACAGAUGAUAGGAGCUCAUCUGAUACUUGUCAGGUAAAUAUGCUCAGUGAUCAUGGAAUGUUAAAAUGAAAGGAACAUGCAAUUCUGGUCUUUUCCUUAAAAGUUUCAAAAAUAAUAUUACACACAGGAGCAUUGUUACACAUUUAAUUUAUCUGAGUAAGUCCCUAUAUACUACAUCAAUACUGAAGACAUUAUCUGGUUUAUCACAGAUAUUUAUCUUCUAAUAAUCUUUGUCUUGACUCUUAGAGACUCUCUGCAUUAAUUCAUAAAAGCAUAGAAACGACUUGCUGGAAAAAUGUAGUUUUUUAUUAUGGGAAAGCCAAAGAAGC